CCGAAUUCGUCGACAACAGAGUUUGAUCCUGGCUCAGGAUGAACGCUGGCGGCGUGCUUAACACAUGCAAGUCGAACGAUGAAGCCCAGCUUGCUGGGUGGAUUAGUGGCGAACGGGUGAGUAACACGUGAGUAACCUACCCUUGACUCUGGGAUAAGCCUGGGAAACUGGGUCUAAUACCGGAUAGGAACGUCCACCGCAUGGUGGUUGUUGGAAAGAUUUAUCGGUCAUGGAUGGACUCGCGGCCUAUCAGCUUGUUGGUGAGGUAAUGGCUCACCAAGGCGACGACGGGUAGCCGGCCUGAGAGGGUGACCGGCCACACUGGGACUGAGACACGGCCCAGACUCCUACGGGAGGCAGCAGUGGGGAAUAUUGCACAAUGGGCGAAAGCCUGAUGCAGCGACGCCGCGUGAGGGAUGACGGCCUUCGGGUUGUAAACCUCUUUCAGUAGGGAAGAAGCGAAAGUGACGGUACCUGCAGAAGAAGCACCGGCUAACUACGUGCCAGCAGCCGCGGUAAUACGUAGGGUGCGAGCGUUAUCCGGAAUUAUUGGGCGUAAAGAGCUCGUAGGCGGUUUGUCGCGUCUGUCGUGAAAGUCCGGGGCUUAACCCCGGAUCUGCGGUGGGUACGGGCAGACUAGAGUGCAGUAGGGGAGACUGGAAUUCCUGGUGUAGCGGUGGAAUGCGCAGAUAUCAGGAGGAACACCGAUGGCGAAGGCAGGUCUCUGGGCUGUAACUGACGCUGAGGAGCGAAAGCAUGGGGAGCGAACAGGAUUAGAUACCCU
rnacentral:rRNA from 1 species